rnacentral:snRNA from 1 species
ACAGAGAAGAUUAGCAUGGCCCCUGCGCAAGGACGACAUGCAAAUGCGUGAAGCGUUCCAUAUUUUU